UCCAAUUGAAGCAGAGGACAGUGGCGGACGGGUGAGUAACGCGUGAGGAACCUGCCUUUCAGAGGGGGACAACAGUUGGAAACGACUGCUAAUACCGCAUAACACAUAGGUGUCGCAUGGCACUUAUGUCAAAGAUUUAUCGCUGAAAGAUGGGCUCGCGUCCGAUUAGAUAGUUGGUGAGGUAACGGCUCACCAAGUCGACGAUCGGUAGCCGACCUGAGAGGGUGAUCGGCCACAUUGGGACUGAGACACGGCCCAAACUCC
rnacentral:rRNA from 1 species